rnacentral:rRNA from 1 species
UACGUAGGGACCAAGCGUUGUCCGGAAUCAUUGGGCGUAAAGCGCGUGUAGGCGGCAUCGCACGUCGGGUGUGAAAGCCCGGGGCUCAACCCCGGCAGUGCACCCGAAACGACGAUGCUAGAGUGCUGGAGAGGCGGGUGGAAUUCCCGGUGUAGAGGUGAAAUUCGUAGAUAUCGGGAGGAACACCGGUGGCGAAGGCGGGAUCCUGGGCCAGUACUGACGCUGAGGAGCGAAAGCGUGGGGAGCAAACAGG